UAGAGUAUUUGGUAUGGGUAAAACCUGCCAACUCUCCACCCUUUGUUUACAUUACCUUUGUUGCUUUGGCAGGCCCGUCUUCGGACCGCUGGCUUCGGCUGGCCCGCGCCUGCCAGAGGACCUAAAACUCUGUUUAAUCAUAUUGUCUGAGUACUAUAUAAUAGUUA
rnacentral:misc_RNA from 2 species